UACGGGGGGGGCAAGCGUUGUUCGGAAUUACUGGGCGUAAAGGGCUCGUAGGCGGCCAACUAAGUCGGACGUGAAAUCCCUCGGCUUAACCGGGGAACUGCGUCCGAUACUGGAUGGCUUGAGUUUGGGAGAGGGAUGCGGAAUUCCAGGUGUAGCGGUGAAAUGCGUAGAUAUCUGGAGGAACACCGGUGGCGAAGGCGGAUCUCUGGGCCUUACCUGACGCUGAGGAGCGAAAGCGUGGGGAGCGAACGAGG
rnacentral:rRNA from 1 species